rnacentral:rRNA from 1 species
UAGGGAAUCUUCCGCAAUGGACGCAAGUCUGACGGAGCAACGCCGCGUGAGUGAAGAAGGAUUUCGGUUCGUAAAACUCUGUUGUUAGAGAAGAACAGCGCAUAGAGUAACUGUUAUGCGUGUGACGGUAUCUAACCAGAAAGCCACGGCUAACUACGUGCCAGCAGCCGCGGUAAUACGUAGGUGGCAAGCGUUGUCCGGAUUUAUUGGGCGUAAAGCGAGCGCAGGCGGUCAAUUAAGUCUGAUGUGAAAGCCCCCGGCUCAACCGGGGAGGGUCAUUGGAAACUGGUUGACUUGAGUGCAGAAGAGGGGAGUGGAAUUCCAUGUGUAGCGGUGAAAUGCGUAGAUAUAUGGAGGAACACCAGUGGCGAAGGCGACUCUCUGGUCUGUAACUGACGCUGAGGCUCGAAAGCGUGGGAAUCAAACAGG